UACGGAGGGUGCAAGCGUUAAUCGGAAUUACUGGGCGUAAAGCGCACGCAGGUGGCUGAGAAAGUCGAUUGUGAAAGCCCUGGGCUUAACCUGGGAAUUGCAGUCGAAACUACUCGGCUAGAGUAUGGGAGAGGGUAGUGGAAUUCCCGGUGUAGCGGUGAAAUGCGCAGAUAUCAGGAGGAACACCAGCGGCGAAGGCGGCGCUCUGGGCCGGUACUGACACUGAGGAGCGAAAGCGUGGGUAGCAAACAGG
rnacentral:rRNA from 1 species